rnacentral:rRNA from 1 species
GCCUAACCUAACAUGCAAUUAAAACACCAAUUGUUCGCCAAAUAACUACGAGUGAAAACUUAAAAUUUAAAAGACUUGACGGUACUUCACACCACCCUAGAGGAGCCUGUCUAAUAACCGAUAUUCCACGAUUAACCCAACCCACCCUAGCCAAUCAGUCUAUAUACCGCCAUCGCCAGCUCACCUUGUAAAAGAAACAUAGCGAGCCUAAAAGCACCACCACUAACACGAUAGGUCGAGGUGUAACUAAUGGGGGGGAAUCAGGUGGGCUACAUUUUCUAGUACAGAAAACACGAAUAGACUAUGAAAAUAGAAACCGAAGGAGGAUUUAGUAGUAUGUUAAGGACAAAAUGCUUAACCGAAAUAAACGCAAUGAAGUGCGUACACACCGCCCGUCAUCCCUGUCAACACCCAAUUAAACCUUUAUAAACCAACACAAACUACCAAACAGGGCAAGUCGUAACAUGGUAAGCGUACUGGAAAGUGCGCUUAGAAA